AUUGAACGCUGGCGGCAGGCCUAACACAUGCAAGUCGAACGAGUGGCGGACGGGUGAGUAAUGUCUGGGAAUCUGCCUGAUGGAGGGGGAUAACUACUGGAAACGGUAGCUAAUACCGCAUACUAUCAGAUGAGCCCAGAUGGGAUGACCUAGUUGGUGGGGUAAAGGCUCACCAAGGCGACGAUCCCUAGCUGGUCGGAGAGGAUGACAAGCCACACGGGAACUGAGACACGGCCCAGACUCCUACGGGAGGCAGCAGUGGGGAAUAUUGCACAAUGGGCGCAAGCCUGAUGCAGCCAUGCCGCGUGUAUGAAGAAGGCCUUCGGGUUGUAAAGUACUUUCAGCGGGGAGGCGUUACCCGCAGAAGAAGCACCGGCUAACUCCGUGCCAGCAGCCGCGGUAAUUC
rnacentral:rRNA from 1 species